rnacentral:rRNA from 1 species
CGCCCGGUUCCAUUCCGAACCCGGUAGCUAAGCCUAACUGCGCCGAUGGUACUGCACUCGGGAGGGUGUGGGAGAGUAGGACACCGCCGAAC